UCACUCAAAAUUUCUGUUACUAAAUGGAAGAAGAUUUUCUUUAAAAUAAACAUGAUUAAAGAAAAAUUAGUUUUAUCAAGACAUGAAAAAAAUAACCGAAGCUAAAUGUUUUAAAGGAUUUUAUAUAUUUUAGUUAUACAAUGCUCAAUUAUUGACAUAAUGCC